rnacentral:rRNA from 1 species
CCCCAGCAGGCGGGUCAAUAAUGCAGNUCGAGCGCAGGAACUGACGGAACUCUUCGGAGGGAAGGCAGCGGAAUGAGCGGCGGACGGGUGAGUAACACGUAAGGAACCUGCCUCAAGGAUUGGGAUAACUCCGAGAAAUCGGAGCUAAUACCGGAUAGUUCAUCGGACCGCAUGGUCCGCUGAUGAAAGGCGCUUCGGCGUCACCUUGAGAUGGCCUUGCGGUGCAUUAGCUAGUUGGUGGGGUAACGGCCCACCAAGGCGACGAUGCAUAGCCGACCUGAGAGGGUGAUCGGCCACACUGGGACUGAGACACGGCCCAGACUCCUACGGGAGGCAGCAGUAGGGAAUCUUCCACAAUGGACGAAAGUCUGAUGGAGCAACGCCGCGUGAGUGAUGAAGGUUUUCGGAUCGUAAAACUCUGUUGUAAGGGAAGAACACGUACGAGAGGAAAUGCUCGUACCUUGACGGUACCUUACGAGAAAGCCACGGCUAACUACGUGCCAGCAGCGNNCGGUAAUAAAA